rnacentral:rRNA from 1 species
UUGGAGGGCAAGUCUGGUGCCAGCAGCCGCGGUAAUUCCAGCUCCAAUAGCGUAUAUUAAAGUUGUUGCAGUUAAAAAGCUCGUAGUUGAAUUUCGGGGUUAGUAGGCUGGUCAUGCCACAGGUAUGCACUAGUCUUACUGAUUCCUCCUUCCUGAUGAACCGUAAUGCCAUUAAUUUGGUGUUGCGGGGAGUCUGGACUGUUACUUUGAAAAAAUUAGAGUGUUUAAAGCAGGCUAACGCUUGAAUACAUUAGCAUGGAAUAACGAAAUAGGACGUUCGAUCUUAUUUUGUUGGUUUCUAGGAUUGACGUAAUGAUUAAUAGGGAUAGUUGGGGGCAUUAGUAUUCAAUUGUCAGAGGUGAAAUUCUUGGAUUUAUUGAAGACUAACUACUGCGAAAGCAUUUGCCAAGGAUGUUUUCAUUAAUCAAGAACGAAAGUUAGGGGAUCGAAGACGAUCAGAUACCGUCGUAGUCUUAACCAUAAACUAUGCCGACUAGGGAUCGGAUGAUGUUAAUUUUUUAAUGACUCAUUCGGCGCCUUACGGGAAAC